UUGCUUUGGCAGCAAAUACACAAAAAUUGGAAUGAUACAGAUAAGAUGAGCAUGGUCCCUGCACAAGAAUGACACACAAAUUCGUGAAGCCUUCCAUAUUUUU